rnacentral:piRNA from 1 species
UCCCAACUUCAAACCCAUCCUUACCAGCC